rnacentral:rRNA from 1 species
AACGAACGCUGGCGGCAUGCCUAACACAUGCAAGUCGAACGAGACCUUCGGGUCUAGUGGCGCACGGGUGCGUAACGCGUGGGAACCUGCCCUUAGGUUCGGAAUAACUCCCCGAAAGGGGUGCUAAUACCGGAUAAUGUCUUCGGACCAAAGAUUUAUCGCCUUUGGAUGGGCCCGCGUUGGAUUAGCUAGUUGGUAGGGUAAAAGCCUACCAAGGCGACGAUCCAUAGCGGGUCUGAGAGGAUGAUCAGCCACACUGGGACUGAGACACGGCCCAGACUCCUACGGGAGGCAGCAGUGGGGAAUAUUGGACAAUGGGCGAAAGCCUGAUCCAGCAAUGCCGCGUGAGCGAUGAAGGCCUUAGGGUUGUAAAGCUCUUUUACCCGGGAUGAUAAUGACAGUACCGGGAGAAUAAGCUCCGGCUAACUCCGUG